UCAGAAGCAAGCAAGAAGGAGAAAAACAGGCUGAUCAGUAACAAUAAUCAUUGCUUUGGUCUGGGAUGUUUCCUUACAAUUUUGUUUCGAAAAUGAUUUGUUUUUCAGCAUACCGAAAAAGUGGCAAAUACAGAGUGCUUGGAUGAUGAGACCCAGUACCAUAUCUUGAAAAGGCUCUUACUGCAUGAAAGGCACCUUUGGGAAACAUGGCUUGGGGGAAAAAAUGAAGAGGAAGAAACAGAUCAAAGAGGUUCAAAUCAUCUUUUCCCCUUCAUAUUUCUCAUGCUUCCAAAGAGCAGCACUGAAGUACAAGCCUGGAAAAGAGGAUGCCUGGAUGUACCUUUCAGCUGCUGCGUCCCACAGGAGCUGCAGUUCAUGCACGUUCUGACCCAUUCUCUUGUGUGACCCAGAGACCCCAUCUCAGUAUCUCCCGGAAAGCACCCUAGUUAGCAACGUGUGUGUAUUCCCUGCUGGAUUGUAUUCGAGGUGAGGAAUUCAUGCACCCCA
rnacentral:lncRNA from 1 species